rfam:Ancylostoma ceylanicum strain HY135 Acey_s0571_scaf, whole genome shotgun sequence.
CCAACGGCCCUCUUUAGGGCCACAUAUCGAAUUGAAUACUUGGUA